rnacentral:rRNA from 1 species
AUUGAACGCUGGCGGCGUGCCUAACACAUGCAAGUCGAGCGGCAGCGCGGGAGCAAUCCUGGCGGCGAGCGGCGGACGGGUGAGUAACGCUUGGGAAUCUGCCUGUUAGUGGGGGACAACCCGGGGAAACUCGGGCUAAUACCGCAUACGCACUACGGUGGAAAGCCGGGGACCGCAAGGCCUGGCGCUAACAGAUGAGCCCAAGUCGGAUUAGCUAGUUGGUAGGGUAACGGCCUACCAAGGCGACGAUCCGUAACUGGUCUGAGAGGACGACCAGUCACACCGGAACUGAGACACGGUCCGGACUCCUACGGGAGGCAGCAGUGGGGAAUAUUGGACAAUGGGGGAAACCCUGAUCCAGCGACGCCGCGUGGGUGAAGAAGGCCUGCGGGUUGUAAAGCCCUUUCAGUGGGGAAGAAAAGCCUCGACCUAAUACGUUGGGGUCUUGACGUAACCCAUAGAAGAAGCACCGGCUAACUCUGUGCCA